rnacentral:rRNA from 1 species
AUGCCCCAUAACCUCCAACACGCGCCAGCGAUUGUGGAUGCGGCUCCAGGAGCUCCUCGCUCAGCUGCGUCGUGGCCGGAUUCAUGGCGGACUGUGGCGGCGGCGGCACGGUCCUGCAUCCACGAAACAAAAAGCGAUGAUUGGUUUUUUUUUCAGUGCACGCCGUGUACUCGAGCGGUUCAGCUAAUGGGUGAAUGCAGCCCGGCGCUGCCGUUUGUGGGCGAUGCAGUUGGGUUGCCUGCAGCUCACCUUCGGCGUGUAGUUCGCCGGCAUCGGGCAUGCGGUCCGGCUACGCGCGUGUUGCAGAGAUUGGGCCCGGCUGCAGUGCUGAUGCCCGGCACUUGA